UACGUAGGGUCCGAGCGUUGUCCGGAAUUAUUGGGCGUAAAGGGCUCGUAGGCGGUCUGUUGCGUCGGGAGUGAAAACUUACAGCUUAACUGUGAGCGUGCUUCCGAUACGGGCAGACUUGAGGUAUUCAGGGGAGAACGGAAUUCCUGGUGUAGCGGUGAAAUGCGCAGAUAUCAGGAGGAACACCGGUGGCGAAGGCGGUUCUCUGGGCCGAUACUGACGCUGAGGAGCGAAAGCGUGGGGAGCAAACAGG
rnacentral:rRNA from 1 species